rnacentral:rRNA from 1 species
AAGGAAUAUUGGACAAUGGAGGCAACUCUGAUCCAGCCAUGCCGCGUGAAGGAAUAAGGCCCUAUGGGUUGUAAACUUCUUUUAGACGGGACAAAACCCCUUUACGUGUAAAGGGUUGAUGGUACUGUCAGAAUAAGCAUCGGCUAACUUCGUGCCAGCAGCCGCGGUAAUACGAAGGAUGCAAGCGUUAUCCGGAAUUAUUGGGUUUAAAGGGUGCGUAGGCGGACUAAUAAGUCAGUGGUGAAAGCCUGCAGCUUAACUGCAGAAUUGCCAUUGAUACUGUUAGUCUUGAGUACAGUUGAGGUAGGCGGAAUGUGUCAUGUAGCGGUGAAAUGCUUAGAUAUGACAUAGAACACCAAUUGCGAAGGCAGCUUACUACAUAUAAAUUGACGCUGAGGCACGAAAGCGUGGGGAUCAAACA